GACGAACGCUGGCGGCGUGCUUGACACAUGCAAGUCGAACGGAAAGGCCUGCUUUCCCUUGUGGAUUGCGGGUACUCGAGUGGCGAACGGGUGAGUAACACGUGAGUGAUCUGCCCCCAACUUGGGUAUAAGCCUGGGAAACUGGGUCUAAUUCCCGAUAGGACUGCAGGGUGGUGCCUGUGGUGGAAAGCGAUUUUCUAGUGGUUGGGGAUGAGCUCGCGGCCUAUCAGCUUGUUGGUGGGGUAAUGGCCUACCAAGGCGGCGACGGGUAGCCGGCCUGAGAGGGUGGACGGCCACAUUGGGACUGAGAUACGGCCCAGACUCCUACGGGAGGCAGCAGUGGGGAAUAUUGCACAAUGGGCGGAAGCCUGAUGCAGCGACGCCGCGUGGGGGAUGACGGCCUUCGGGUUGUAAACUCCUUUCGACCGCGAGGAAGCCACCUGGUUGGAAGGGUGGUGACGGUAGUGGUAGAAGAAGCACCGGCUAACUACGUG
rnacentral:rRNA from 1 species